AGUGAUCCCUCAAUUAGUGGAUACUUGUGAUAUGAAAGAACUGAGGAUUUGGGAGGAAUGCAGAGGAGUAACAUUGGUCACUGGCAGGAACAGAAGAGGAGGGAGCAGGAAGGGAGCAGAAAGGAGGAACUGAGAAAAUCACCAUCUGUGAUAUUUUAUUUCUUAGGGCAAGAAGAUCUUAAAAAAAAGACAAUGUCAGUGAUAAAAAGUGGGUGAUGAAUACAUAGGUAAUUAU
rnacentral:lncRNA from 10 species